CAUGACAAAAGGGCAGCCAAUCCAAUAACCCCACAGAUGUGCACUUCCUGGAGGGAAAGUACAUUGAGAGAGCAUGAAAGUUUCUAUUUUUACUCACUCUGGCAGAAAAAGAGAAGCUGGAGAACCACUUUUAAAACAAUGCCUUAAUAUAACACAGAGGAGAAAAACAACUAGGCCCUGGAAUAGCACCUAACAAGUGUACUGCUGGGCUCUUCUGGUUAAUGGGUUCUGGAUCAGAACAAAAUAAUGACAUCAACCUCUGUCAUCAAGGAACACUUACUCAGCUAAGAGGAACCUUACCGGGAGCCUGGAUAGUACCUCUCAUCUCGGUGCACUCACCCACCCCUACCACUCGCCGCCAGGAGGAAGAGUAAGAGGAGAGGCUCCAUUGUCUUCCUCACUCCCCUCUAACCUACAGGCAGGUGCACUGGAGUUUUGAGGCUUGACAUAAAUAGGUCUAAAUGACAACCUGCUGUUUGGAGAAACUCCUGGGCCCGUUCAGGUGGAUAUUACAGAUUGUUCCGAUAGAAAUGUAUUGUGUAGAACAGAUAUGAUGGUUUUCCAGAUAGAAUAGGGAAUUGUGUCAGCCUUAUUCAUUAUAUUUCUAUCUGCAAUGCUCAGAACGUUUCACAUCACUGAAUACACCACCUGUGUAACGGGCAUGGAGUGGUUUGGUCCUGCCUGAGGUGUAUGUGCAU
rnacentral:lncRNA from 13 species